AUGCGGGCCAGCGGCGCGGCAAGUUCGUGGGCGGUGGGGCGGACGCGCAUCUCUACGACGACCCGGACGCCGCCGCCAUCCUGGCGCUCCUCGACUAGAAGCCAUGGUUCUUCCAUCGCACCCUUAUCUUCUCAAGGAAACACACAUCAGUAUUAUUCAUAUGGUGGUGGAUACCAGAGUGGUAGUACAACAAAAAAGAUUGAUAUCCCAAAUGGAAGGUUGGUGUUAUCAUUGGAAAAGCUGGAGAAACUAUACAGCAUAUCCAAUUUCAGUCAGGGGUCACAGACAAGAUUGGUUGAUCUUUCGGGAAGAUAA
rnacentral:rRNA from 1 species